UGCCAGCCGCCGCGGUAAUACGAAGGGUGCAAGCGUAAAUCGGAAUUACUGGGCGUAAAGCGCGCGUAGGUGGUUCAGUAAGUUAGGAGUGAAAGCCCCGGGCUUAACCUGGGAAUUGCUUCUAAAACUGCUGAGCUAGAGUACGGUAGAGAGUGGUGGAAUUUCCUGUGCAGCGGUGAAAUGCGUAGAUAUAGGAAGGAACAUCAGUGGCGAAGGCGACCACCUGGACUGAUACUGACACUGAGGUGCGAAAGCGUGGGGAGCAAACAGGAUUAGAUA
rnacentral:rRNA from 1 species